GUAGUUAGCCGGGGCUUCCUCCUAAGCUACCGUCACUUCCUUCGUCACUUAGGACAGAGGUUUACAACCCGAAAGCCUUCUUCCCUCACGCGGCGUUGCUGGGUCAGGCUUGCGCCCAUUGCCCAAUAUUCCCCACUGCUGCCUCCCGUAGGAGUCUGGACCGUGUCUCAGUUCCAGUGUGGCCGAUCAGCCUCUCAGCUCGGCUACCCAUCGUUGGCUAGGUGGGCCGUUACCCCGCCUACUACCUAAUGGGACGCGAACCCCUCCUUUAGCGGAUUUCUCCUUUGACCUCUGUGUCAUGCGGCACUGUGGUCUUAUGCGGUAUUAGCACCUGUUUCCAAGUGUUAUCCCCCUCUAAAGGGCAGGUUGUUCACGCGUUACUCACCCGUUCGCCACUAGGUACAAAACCGAGUCUCGUACCCCGUUGACUUGCAUGUGUUAGGCACGCCGCCAGCGUUCGUCCUGAGCCAGAAUCGAACCCUGA
rnacentral:rRNA from 1 species